AUGUUAGAACAAAACAUCUCUACUUUGUGCUGGAAUGUCCGUGGAUUAAACUGCCCUGAGCGUAGAGCCACUGUCCAUGAAACAAUUGCUGCAUCUUCCUGUCAUCUGGUCUGCCUACAGGAAACUAAGCUCCAAGUGAUUGAUCCUUUUACCGCUGCUUAUCUUGGUGGCCAACGUCUGAAGAAUUUCGCCUACAAGCCUGCUGAUGGUACUAAGGGAGGCAUCUUGCUGUUGUGGGAUGAAGCGGUGAUUGAUAUAUCCAACGUCCAGCUCGAUCAUCUCUCGGCGUUUGUUGCAAUCAAGAAUUCUUUACAUAACAAAUCUUUCAAGCUUACCACUGUCUACGGGCCAACUAGAAGCAUUCACAAAGAUGCUUUUUUCCUGGAGCUGUCAUCUCAGAAACCAUUGCCAGGAACAAAGUGGCUGGUUAACGGCGACUUCAACCAAAUAUACCGGGCUCGAGAUAAAAACCGCACCAAUGUGGACCGUAGUCGCCUAGUUAGGUUUCGCAACACCUUAAACUAUUGCGAGCUCAAGGAGAUCCAUCUACAGAAUCGAAGAUUCACAUGGAGCAAUGAAAGAAACAACCCAACGCUCAGUAAACUGGACAGUUUUUUUUGCAAUGAGGACUGGGACAUCGAAUUUGCCAAUCACAUUCUUCAUGCCCUCUCCUCCUCACUUUCGGACCACUGCCCGCUUUUACUCGCUAAUGAGGGUGGUCCCAAGCGGCCGAAGUCCUUCCGGUUCGAGAACCAUUGGACCAAGAUGUCGGGUUUCCAAAAGACGGUCAAGGAUGCUUGGGACGAAGAAUCAACACAUUCCGAGCCAUACCAGAGGCUGUUUCAUAAGCUCAAAACUACUAGCCAAAGAUUACGCUCCUGGAGCAAGUCCCUUUUCGCCAAAGUUAAGAUCCAAUUACAUAUGGCGCUUGAAGUUAUUCUGCAUCUUGAUCUGGCUAUGGAUCAAAGAGAGCUUUCCCAGCAGGAAUACGAUCUUCGGAAAAGACUAAAGAGAAAGAUCAUCGCGUGGGCUGUGCUUGAGAAAUCUAGGAAGAGGCAAAAUUCCAGAAUCACCAAUUUGAAGGAGGGUGAUGCU
rnacentral:rRNA from 1 species